UACGUAGGGUGCGAGCGUUAAUCGGAAUUACUGGGCGUAAAGCGUGCGCAGGCGGGCUUUUAAGCCAGACGUGAAAUCCCCGGGCUUAACCUGGGAAUGGCGUUUGGGACUGGGAGUCUGGAGUACGGCAGAGGAGACUGGAAUUCCUGGUGUAGCAGUGAAAUGCGUAGAUAUCAGGAGGAACACCGGUGGCGAAGGCGGGUCUCUGGGAAACAACUGACGCUGAGGAACGAAAGCGUGGGUAGCAAACAGG
rnacentral:rRNA from 1 species